AUACAGAGGGUGCAAACGUUGUUCGGAAUCACUGGGCUUAAAGCGCGCGUAGGCGGCGACAUCAGUGUCUUGUGAAAGCCCCCGGCUCAACCGGGGAACUGCAGGGCAUACUGUGUUGCUAGAGUACGAGAGGGGAGAGGAUAACUCCUGGUGGAGCGGUGGAAUGCGUAGAUAUCAGGAGGAAUGCCGAAGGUGAAGACACCUCUCUGGCUCGUAACUGACGCUAAGGCGCGAAAGCUAGGGUAGCGAACGGGAUUAGAUACCCGUGUAGUCC
rnacentral:rRNA from 1 species